rnacentral:rRNA from 1 species
AUUGAACGCUGGCGGCAUGCCUUACACAUGCAAGUCGAACGGUAACAGGUCUUCGGAUGCUGACGAGUGGCGAACGGGUGAGUAAUACAUCGGAACGUGCCCGAGAGUGGGGGAUAACGAAGCGAAAGCUUUGCUAAUACCGCAUACGAUCUCAGGAUGAAAGCAGGGGACCGCAAGGCCUUGCGCUCACGGAGCGGCCGAUGGCAGAUUAGGUAGUUGGGGGGAUAAAAGCUUACCAAGCCGACGAUCUGUAGCGGGUCUGAGAGGACGACCAGCCACACUGGGACUGAGACACGGCCCAGACUCCUACGGGAGGCAGCAGUGGGGAAUUUUGGACAAUGGGCGCAAGCCUGAUCCAGCCAUGCCGCGUGCAGGAUGAAGGCCUUCGGGUUGUAAACUGCUUUUGUACGGAACGAAAAGACUUCUUCUAAUAAAGGGGGUCCAUGACGGUACCGUAAGAAUAAGCACCGGCUAACUACGUGCCAGCAGCCGCGGUAACAC